GACGAACGCUGGCGGCGUGCUUAACACAUGCAAGUCGAACGGAAAGGCCUGCUUUCCCUUGUGGAUUGCGGGUACUCGAGUGGCGAACGGGUGAGUAACACGUGAGUGAUCUGCCCCCAACUUGGGUAUAAGCCUGGGAAACUGGGUCUAAUUCCCGAUAGGACUGCAGGGUGGUGCCUGUGGUGGAAAACGAUUUUCUAGUGGUUGGGGAUGAGCUCGCGGCCUAUCAGCUUGUUGGUGGGGUAAUGGCCUACCAAGGCGGCGACGGGUAGCCGGCCUGAGAGGGUGGACGGCCACAUUGGGACUGAGAUACGGCCCAGAGUCCGACGGGAGGCAGCAGUGGGGAAUAUAGCACGAUGGGCGGAAGCCUGAUGCAGCGACGCCGCGUGGGGGAUGACGGCCUUCGGGUUGUAAACUCCUUUCGACCGCGAGGAAGCCACCUGGUUGGAAGGGUGGUGACGGUAGUGGUAGAAGAAGCACCGGCUAACUACGUG
rnacentral:rRNA from 1 species